GACAUAAGUAACGAUAAAGCGGGUGAAAAGCCCGCUCGCCGGAAGACCAAGGGUUCCUGUCCAACGUUAAUCGGGGCAGGGUGAGUCGACCCCUAAGGCGAGGCCGAAAGGCGUAGUCGAUGGGAAACAGGUUAAUAUUCCUGUACUUGGUGUUACUGCGAAGGGGGGACGGAGAAGGCUAUGUCAGCCGGGCGACGGUUGUCCCGGUUUAAGCAUGUAGGCGGAGGUUCCAGGUAAAUCCGGUACCUUUUAACGCUGAGGUGUGAUGACGAGGCACUACGGUGCUGAAGUGAUAAAUGCCCUGCUUCCAGGAAAAGCCUCUAAGCAUCAGGUAACACGAAAUCGUACCCCAAACCGACACAGGUGGUCAGGUAGAGAAUACCAAGGCGCUUGAGAGAACUCGGGUGAAGGAACUAGGCAAAAUGGUGCCGUAACUUCGGGAGAAGGCACGCUGAUGUGUAGGUGAAGCCCCUGCGGGCGGAGCUGAAAUCAGUCGAAGAUACCAGCUGGCUGCAACUGUUUAUUAAAAACACAGCACUGUGCAAACACGAAAGUGGACGUAUACGGUGUGACGCCUGCCCGGUGCCGGAAGGUUAAUUGAUGGGGUUAGCGGCAACGCGAAGCUCUUGAUCGAAGCCCCGGUAAACGGCGGCCGUAACUAUAACGGUCCUAAGGUAGCGAAAUUCCUUGUCGGGUAAGUUCCGACCUGCACGAAUGGCGUAAUGAUGGCCAGGCUGUCUCCACCCGAGACUCAGUGAAAUUGAACUCGCUGUGAAGAUGCAGUGUACCCGCGGCAAGACGGAAAGACCCCGUGAACCUUUACUAUAGCUUGACACUGAACACUGGUCCUUGAUGUGUAGGAUAGGUGGGAGGCUUUGAAGCGUGGACGCCAGUCUGCGUGGAGCCGACCUUGAAAUACCACCCUUUAAUGGCUGGUGUUCUAACGUAGACCCGUAAUCCGGGUUGCGGACAGUGUCUGGUGGGUAGUUUGACUGGGGCGGUCUCCUCCCAAAGAGUAACGGAGGAGCACGAAGGUUGGCUAAUCCUGGUCGGACAUCAGGAGGUUAGUGCAAUGGCAUAAGCCAGCUUGACUGCGAGCGUGACGGCGCGAGCAGGUGCGAAAGCAGGUCAUAGUGAUCCGGUGGUUCUGAAUGGAAGGGCCAUCGCUCAACGGAUAAAAGGUACUCCGGGGAUAACAGGCUGAUACCGCCCAAGAGUUCAUAUCGACGGCGGUGUUUGGCACCUCGAUGUCGGCUCAUCACAUCCUGGGGCUGAAGUAGGUCCCAAGGGUAUGGCUGUUCGCCAUUUAAAGUGGUACGCGAGCUGGGUUUAGAACGUCGUGAGACAGUUCGGUCCCUAUCUGCCGUGGGCGCUGGAGAAUUGAGGGGGGCUGCUCCUAGUACGAGAGGACCGGAGUGGACGCAUCACUGGUGUUCGGGUUGUCAUGCCAAUGGCACUGCCCGGUAGCUAAAUGCGGAAGAGAUAAGUGCUGAAAGCAUCUAAGCACGAAACUUGCCCCGAGAUGAGUUCUCCCUGAGACUUUAAGUCUCCUGAAGGAACGUUGAAGACGACGACGUUGAUAGGUCGGGUGUGUAAGCGCAGCGAUGCGUUGAGCUAACCGAUACUAAUGAACCGUGAGGCUUAACCUU
rnacentral:rRNA from 2 species